AAUCGUAUUCCUCCCCUUCUUCGGGCCAGAAUACGCUUUCCUUUCUAGAAAGUGUAUUUCUGAGAAAGACGUGAUCUGUUUUUCUGCUAGGGCCCCGUUUGUAAUGAUUUUCUUUACAGAUUGGUCCCUGGUAGUUAAACAAUCAUAUCUUUUUACCCGUAGCUCCAAAUCAGGUGAUGUCUAAGCCCACGUCUUCGCUUCGUCGAGCCUGUUCCGUUGGUAUCAUUUUCAUAAUGUUUUCACACAGUGAAAAUGACCAUUUUGCCCUUGCCCGUAAACAGCCCCCUCCGAGAGAGAACUGUUUCCGGCAAAUCUUUCCGCGAUCGUUUCCCACUUCUUCCCGGAGUAUUUGUCGACCCCCAG
rnacentral:lncRNA from 1 species